UCGGCGGGAAUAAAAGAAAGGGUUGGAAAGGAAUAAGCAAGACCAUUCAGAACACGGAAAAGGCGGAAAAGGUGGCGGCUUCGGCAUCCGAGUUUUGCAUACCCUUGCCGAGCAUCUCAGUUCAAAGUUCAAUAGUAGAUGGUAUUAUAUCUUUCUACAAUCGUUAUAAAAAACCAUAUACCAACAUUGAGUUCAAUAGUCUUUCAAAACAGGCGAUCAAGGCAUUCGAUACUGUUACUGAUAUCAUAUAUGGUGGUUUAAGUCGACCAUUCUUUAAAGACAAUGCAGCUGUAAACUUAUUUCGAUAAUAGACCUGUUUAUCACCAACCUAUCAGCAUAAUAUGUACAGCUGUUUUUUAAAAUUUGUAUUUUUAAAUCUUGUGAUAACAAAAAACGUAAUAAAUGAUGCAACUUAUAAUGGAGUUAAACAUUUCCUGUUGUUAAUAGUUAGCAAAUUUAUUGGAAAGAGUUUAGUUCUUGGGGGACUACAUUUAGUUCUUUUGGCAAGAAAAAGCAGCUGAUUUUUUUUCCAAGGUGAAAGCGACACAGACACACGUGUGUCGGUGCUUGUGCGCGUGCCUCUUUCUUGUUUUCGAAUUUUUGUAUUGAUAUCUAUAUAAUCUUUGGGAAUUACUGCUCAAAUCUACACAGAUGCAUGCACACAAGGAACAAACACUGGACACUGGUCCCCUACAGAUUGUGAUACAGGAAAGUUUUACCUAUAAACGUAGGCUAUGCGAAAUAAAGCAGUGCAGCAUUUAAGCAUCUGAAAAUUCAAUACUCCCCCGAAUACGCUGCAAAAAAAAGGGAGAAAAAGGUCCCAGUUGGAGAAGUUGACUCGUCACUUGACAACGACAUUGGGCGACACCCUUCAAUGGCUUUGAUGACGGUCUUCACCCUUUUUAAGUUCCAAAUUAUCCAGAUUCCUGGGCUGUGUUGCAUCGUUCGCCUGAUUAAUUGUCGCGAUACACGAGUCUAUAUGUAUAGGAAUAUAUAUAUAUAUACGUAUAUCAUAUAUAUAGAUUUACACACUCGAAAUCGAGCAUUAGCAUUAAAUGUGAUGUCACUCGAUGGCUGUCAAACGUAUGCGAAAAUUGAAAGUCCCCCAUCGAUUCCCGCCGGUCUGUCAAGCCCUUUCGCCUGUCAUUUUGGGCCGGCAGCUCAUCGAACUGGAAAAUUAUUUGGUCAUUAUGUCAAUUUAGUGAAAGCGAUGUGGACGGACACCCCUGAAAACGCAAAACCGUCAACGGAACUCCAUGAAAAACAACAGUCGAAAACAAGGCAAAACACAGCAGAACUGUGUACUGGGUAGCAGAAGUGGGCACAAAUGAAUGCGACCACUAGUGCAUUAUAAAAUUAAUUAAAUUUACAGUUUCGAUGGCGCUUGACGUUGUUUUGGGGUUUCAUCGGCCAUUUUUAACACAAAGGACAACUCACAAAAUGAUCAGUGGCGAGUUUAGCAUUAUCAAUUGAACGCUGUUUAUAACUGAUUCAUAAUUGCACCCCGUUUAAUUAAAUAUGCAUUAUAUUCCUGUGAGAGCACCUAAGUAGUCUAUCUUAUCUCG